AUAACCUCCCCUCUGGCCAGAGACAUUCCAACCCCCGCAGUAAACUUCUCCUCCACACAGAAACAUUCCAAGCCUGUGAUAAGGUCUUGCUCUGUUGCCCAGGCUGGAAUGCCAUGGCACGAUCUCAGCUCCUUGCAGCCUUGACCUCCCAGGCUCAAGCAAUCCUCCUGCCUCAGCCUCCUGAGGGAACUACAGGGUGCAGCACCUCGCCCUGCUCUCGUGUCUUCCUUCUCCAGCCAUGUACGACGUGCCUGCUUCCCCUUUGCCUUCUGCCAUGAUUAUGUUUCCUGAGGCCUCCCCAGCCAUGCUUCCUGUACAGCCUGCAUAACUGGGCAACUUAGACAGAUACAGACGCACAUAGAAGAAACAUGAUGUGACGACUAGACAAACAUAGAAAGUAGAUGACCAUCUAUAAACCCAUAACAGAGACCUGGAAUAGAUUCUUUACUCACGGCCUUCAGAAGAAAUCAAUCCUGAUGACACAGUGAUUUCAGACUUCUAGCUUUCAAAAUUGUGAAUCAAUAAACUUCUAAUUUUUCAGCUGUACAA